GGGGGCGUGUUGUGGUCUGUCAGCUUUGGGAAGGAAGAGAAUUCCAGACUAGGAGAACAAUGUAAGAGGAAAGAUGAUGGAGGGAGAUGUGCGAAUGGGACUUGAAGAGACACAGAUCCACUGAGAGAAGAAAACAGCACUGGACCAGGGUCUUCUGCCUGACAAACUACCUAAGGACUCCAUACAGUACUUGUGAAUCCAAGAGUGAGGUGCUUUGCAGAAUGUUGCGUUAGAAGAGAGAAUAAUCUGCUCCCAAAAGAUUCUGUGCUGCAAAUAUUGAUUUGGCUUUGUGACUCAUCACAUUUGGAAUGUGCUGGAUGCAGGAGAGGGAGCUCUGCACAAUGAGUUUUCCCAGAACUGACCAAAUAUUCCAGGACAGUACUAGAUUUUGAAGCUGAUUUGUCUAUCUUGCACCAAUGUCUCAGCUGUUCUUGCUCUCUUUAAAUGCUUGGACUUUCAUCUCUGUUUUGAAACAUGUUUAGAAAAGGUUCCCUUAGGUCCCAGAACAGUCUGGUAAUUAUAGUGUGGAUGGCUCAGAAUGCUGGAGAACUUUAGCCUUUUAUAGAUCCCUCCUCCCUUACCCUAACCCUAAUUCUGGGGGAAGACAUUGAAGAAAGUCUGGUGUCUUCAUGUCCUGAUUUGCAACAAAAUUAUAUUCAGUCUAGUUUUCUCCUCUCCAAAGCUAAGCUUUGCCCUCCAAGAUCCAAAAUGGGAAAAAAAUUAUCACCAAGCUCCAUUCAUUCCCUCUACAUUUUUCAGUUUAUCAUAUUUCAGUACAGUAAUACAAGUUGGUACUCCGCCUCUGGUGACUCACCUGGCUUUUUCCCCAGGUAGACUUUUCUUUGAUGAAAGGUGGAAUUAUCUUCCUCUAUUAAUUCGCUCAGCAAGACAGCUUGUUCUACUGAAUUUCUCCAAAGGAUAGGAUAUUUGUAUGGAUGACUGUAUGAAUUCCAGUCUUGCACAAGUGAGUUCUACAAAUUCAUUUCACUUAAAACCAGGAUGAGUUCAGUAUCAUUUUCAGCCAAUCGGGGCAGGGUCAGGGGUUGAAUUCUUUCACUGCUGUUAUUGGUCAUAUUAAACUCUGAAGAGUGGUUUUAUACUGUGUAUUACUUUUUCACUAGAGACUAAACCACAUUGCAAACUGCCGAAAAUGCUCCACAUUCACAUCCAACAUCAUAAUGCCAGUUAAUGUGGCCAUGUGAAGUUUUGAUUUCAAGAUCCCUAAGGAUUUCAGCUCAAAGACUUCAUAUUAUCUGAAAGUUAAAGCCAAAUGUACCCCACAAAUUCAGAGACUCAGUCAUUCAAGUUAAUUAUUGCUAACCACUAGCUGGCUGCCUCACCCUGUAUACUGUCUCACCCCCCAGCUGGGCAUGGUCAAAGCAACCACAAUACGGGCUCCACCAUGGAGUCCCACACCCAUCUACCACCCGCUAGUCUCAAACUAUGAGCAGCCAUGAGAAAAGCUGCCAAAAAGAACUUUCCUAAGUCACAAAGAACUGGGAUGAUUUUUUUUGUUAUUGUUGUUGUUGCUUUCACCAGUUUUUGUUUGCUUUUUUGGCUAACUCAGCUUUCUCUGUUAGAGAAGCAUUCCAAAAAUUAGAUGGCAUUACAGUUGAGUCUUCUCUUUUUCUGUGGGCAUUCUGAAUAGCUGGAAUCUUAAAUAGCAACUGUGGCUAUAAACAGUAGGUUUUUAAAGAUCCGCACAAAACUUUCAGCGGCCCUUGGCCACUCCGCCUAAAAUCUGUUUUGAUUUAACCCAGUUAUGGGGGCACUGAUAGAAAAGAAGAGAUUUUUAAAACCCAGAAAACCUCUUCCAUAAAUUGUAACAGCCCUGUGCAAUGUGGUUUCUGCUCUAUAUACAGUAGAGGAAAAAAAAAGCCUCAUUUGACUCUGAACUAAAUGGCAUGCUUAUAUUCUUUUCCAAAAAAGAAGCUUUAUAAUGAACAUGCAAUUUGAGAUCUAUUGGUAUAAAAUAAGGAAAGAUGAACUACAACUAGAAAACAAGGAAGGAGGCUGGUAAAUGAGACUGUGUGUUACCCAUUAAGGAACUUGAAUGUUUCAGGAAUGAAUCAUGAAUUAGCUAUGUUAAUAAAACAAAUAGCUGAA